rnacentral:tRNA from 1 species
GCCGUGGUGGCGGAAUUGGUAGACGCGCUGGUCUUAGGAACCAGUAUCGUAAGAUGUGAAGGUUCGAGUCCUUUCCACGGUAC